AAAUCUUUUCCUUGGUGGAAUAACAAUGCAAUCAAUUAUUUAUUUCCACAGCUGACGAAAAGUGUUGGCAAUGAAGAGGAGAAUGAAGAACAAAUGAAACGAAAACUAAAUUCUUUGAAGGCUGCAGCCAGUAUUUUUGAAGCAGCCAAAUCAUGGCCAAAUUCACUUCUAGGAAGCAUAGAUCUCAAGGCCCAAAUACUGGAUGCCCUCAGUCUUCAAUCAGUCGCAGAAGGACAGGUACAAUAUUGUUGUGGAACAAAUGAAAUGCAAAUGAAUCAUCAAUUAUUUUGGCUUGCAGGCUUUUCUUAAGAU